CAUUUUGAAAAGCAAAAACAGAGAGUUCCUUGGCUCUCUCUCCCUCAUUUCCCCUUUGGCUAAGAUUUAUACCCAUCGUUGCCGCCGCCAUGGAGCCACCGUAGAUGGUGGUAGGGGUUGCGCGAAUGAGUCUUUUGACCCCGAUUUUGGGGCGCCUGAAGGCCCUAUUUUCCUAGCCCGAAAAUAUGAAAGGAGAGACCCCUAUUUUUCUUUUUGAGAGCCGAUUUCAACAAUGGAGUAGGGCUCCGAUGUCGCGGCUCCGAGGUUUGGGCAAGUGGAGCAAAUGAGGGUGGGUGGCCAACUAUGGAGUGGGUUAUGGUGGCAGACAGUAGAGAGGCAC